ACAGUGGUGGUUCAGUGGUAGAAUUCUCACCUUCCAUGUGGGAGACAGGGGGUUUCAUUUCUCACCAAUGUA
rnacentral:tRNA from 1 species